UAAGGAAUAUUGGUCAAUGGACGCAAGUCUGAACCAGCCAUGCCGCGUGAAGGAUGAAGGUCCUCUGGAUUGUAAACUUCUUUUAUCUGGGACGAAAACGGGAUUUUUAUCUCAAUUGACGGUACCAGAGGAAUAAGCACCGGCUAACUCCGUGCCAGCAGCCGCGGUAAUACGGAGGGUGCGAGCGUUAUCCGGAUUUACUGGGUUUAAAGGGUGCGUAGGUGGGCUUAUAAGUCAGUGGUGAAAUCUCCGAGCUUAACUUGGAAACUGCCGUUGAUACUAUAGGUCUUGAAUUAUCUGGAGGUAAGCGGAAUAUGUCAUGUAGCGGUGAAAUGCUUAGAUAUGACAUAGAACACCAAUUGCGAAGGCAGCUUACUACAUAUAAAUUGACGCUGAGGCACGAA
rnacentral:rRNA from 1 species